AACAUUCUUCUGAAGAUCCAUAUAAAUGGUGAAACCGGUUUAGGUUUUAAAUUGUAAUUUUACUCAAUUAUACUAUGUAAUACCAAAAAGGCAUUUCCAUUUCCUUCUAUAAUUUUUCCCGCUCUAUAUAUGUAUAUAAGUGAGGAAAUAAAGAAAAAACCUCAACGGAAUGCAGCCUCUUUGAUACAGCCAGGAACACGCUUUCCAUCAUAUGCAUAUCGGCUGCUACUGUAUUCAUGGUGUUUCUGGCAAACUAUGGAAUAACUGGCUACAUUAGUUCAAUGACGUACAGCCGUACUUUAUCUCUUUCAAAACCACUCA
rnacentral:misc_RNA from 1 species